UAGUUCUGUGCAAACACUCAGGAAAGAAUAAACCCAACUCUGUUUAAAAAAUAUUACAGCAUUAUAAACAAAGGUGUAUUUCAAGGGGUUUAUUGUUUUAUUUGUAGGAUGGAUUCCAAAGAAAAUAUCAAGAUUGUCCAGGAAAACUUGAAAAAUGAUUUGAAAGAGGAUGAUAUUAAUAUUGUUGAAACUGAAGUUGCUACCAUGGGUGUAGACGAACAGGAUGCUAAACCUGCAGCUGAGAUUAACAAAGAGAUCAGUGAAGAUGAGAGUGAUGCCAAAAGCUUCAUUAGAGAGAUUUUUCAAAGCCAUCAUCAUCAAGACCAUCACGAGAAGAAAGAGCAAGAGGAGUUUAAGCCUCCUCUAAAGGAAUCUGAUGAGGAGAAGUUGAUACGGCUUGUGAAGAUCAAUGGCAAUGAUACAUAUUCAACAGAAGGAAAACGCCGGGGGAUUUGUAUGAUCUUUGAGAAUGAUAUGUUCCACACUGAUCUUGGCCUUAGUAAGAGGAAGGGAUCAAAUGUGGAUCGAGUUCUCAUGAUAGAUGUUUUCACUAAACUCCAGUUUGAGGUCAGGGUCUUCCAAAACCUGACAACAACUGAGAUUCUUCAGAAGCUUGAGGCAGCAAGGUUUGAGGAUCAUUCCCAUUCAGACAUGUUUGCUAUAGUUAUACUCAGUCACGGAAAUGAAGGUAUCUUGUACGGAUAUGACCGUCCUUAUGCAGUACAGAAGAUUUGGGAACCAUUUACUGCAGCCAACUGUGAAGAUCUGGCAGGAAAGCCUAAACUCUUCUUCAUACAGGCCUGCCAAGGAAGCCAGAUAGACCACGGGGUGACAGUCGAGGAGAAAAAGAAGAGUAGAACAGAAACUGAUGGAUUUGCUUCCUACAGGACACCUCUUCAUUCAGACUUUAUGAUUGCACACAGUACUGUUGCAGGAUAUUACAGCUGGAGGAAUACUGUUCAGGGCUCUUGGUUUAUUCAGGUGCUAGGUGCUGCCCUGCUGGUGAAUGCCUCCAAGGUGGAUCUGAUCAGUAUCCUUACUAAAGUGUCAAAUGUCUAGGUGCUAGGUGCUGGCCUGCUGGUGAAUGCCUCCAAGGUUGACCUGAUCAGUAUCCUUACUUAAGUGUCAAAUGUCUAGGUGCUAGGUGCUGCCCUGCUGGUGAAUGCCUCCAAGGUGGAUCUGAUCACUAUCCUUGCUAAAGUGUCACAUGUCUAGUUACUAGGUGCUGCCCUGCUGGUGAAUGCCUCCAAGGUUGAACUGAUCAGUAUCCUUACUAAAGUGUCACAUGUCUAGGUGCAAGGUGCUGCCCUGCUGGUGAAUGCCCCCAAGGUGGAUCUGAUCACUAUCCUUACUAAAGUGUCACAUGUCUAGGUGCUAGGUGCUGCCCUGCUGGUGAAUGCCUCCAAGGUGGAUCUGAUCAGUAUCCUUACUAAAGUGUCACGUGUUGUGGCCAGGGAGUAUGAAAGCAAUUCAUCUCAAAGGGAUUUCAACCAGAAGAAGCAGAUUCCCUUUAUCUAUUCAACUCUCACAGACAAAAUCCUCCUGAAGUCCAAGAAUGAAAAGGAACAAAAUUAAACCAAUUUCAUCUUGUUAAUAAAGUUUUACAAUGUAAA